rnacentral:lncRNA from 1 species
CUCCCUUGGUGAGUCUGGCCAGGCUGUGUCACCUCUCCAUGCCUCAGCGUCCUCAUCUGCAAAGUGAGUAACAACAGAAUCUACCUCGGAGAUGGAUUAGAUGGAGUACUGCAUGUGAAGCAUUGAGGCCAAGGAACCACCUCAUUGUGCGUGCUCCAGGAAGAAAACGGGUGGACGGGAGCAACCACCUAAGCUAGGCUCGUAGGCCGGGUCCCGCGGAAGGAGCCUCACAAUGACCCCGUAACGGUGACUUGGCGAGUCACGGUCGCCGCGG